rnacentral:rRNA from 1 species
UACGAAGGUGGCAAGCGUUGUUCGGAUUUACUGGGCGUAAAGGGCGCGUAGGCGGCCUCCGCAAGUCAGUUGUGAAAUCUCCGAGCUUAACUCGGAAAGGUCAACUGAUACUGCGGGGCUAGAGUGCGGAAGGGGCAACUGGAAUUCUUGGUGUAGCGGUGAAAUGCGUAGAUAUCAAGAGGAACACCUGCGGCGAAGGCGGGUUGCUGGGCCGACACUGACGCUGAGGCGCGAAAGCUAGGGGAGCGAACGGG